GUAGGAUAAGCUAAGCACACUGUUGGUUAUGUGUGCCCAAGCAUUGAGGCAGUCAAAGUAGGCAAAUCCGCUUUGAUAAUGCUGGGAUGUGAUGGGGAGCGAAAUUUAGUAGCGAAGUAGCUGAUUUCACACUGUCAAGAAAAGUCUCUAUCGAGGUUAAAGGUACCCGUACCGCAAACCGACACAGGUGGGUGAGGAGAGUAUCCUAAGGCCAGCGAGAGAACUGUUGUUAAGGAACUCGGCAAAAUGACCCCGUAACUUAGGGAUAAGGGGUGCCACCAUCAGGUGGCCGCAGAGAAUAGGCCCAAGCGACUGUUUACCAAAAACAUAGGUUUCUGCUAAGUCGCAAGACGAUGUAUAGGAGCUGACGCCUGCCCGGUGCUGGAAGGUUAAGGGGAUCUGUUAGAGCAAUCGAAGCAGUGAACUUAAGCCCCAGUAAACGGCGGCCGUAACUAUAACGGUCCUAAGGUAGCGAAAUUCCUUGUCGGGUAAGUUCCGACCCGCACGAAAGGCGUAACGAUUUGGGCACUGUCUCAACAACAGACUCGGUGAAAUUGUAAUUCCGGUGAAGAUGCCGGAUACCUGCGACAGGACGGAAAGACCCCAU
rnacentral:rRNA from 1 species